GGGGUAUAUAUUAAUGGGCAGAAUCAAUUUGCGCCAAUUGCAGUUUUGAAAAGGUAUUAAUUGCGCCACUCUCUUUUAUUUUGAUGGUAUUAAUUGCGCCAAUAAAUGAAAUGAAAUUGCGCCACAUUUACCUGUAAAUAUUUUUUACCUAUAUCAUACAUUUAAUUAACCUUUCCACUUAAGAUUUAACUUAACACUCAUCAAAUUAAAG
rnacentral:lncRNA from 1 species